UACGUAGGGUCCGAGCGUUGUCCGGAAUUAUUGGGCGUAAAGGGCUCGUAGGCGGUUCGUCACGUCGGGAGUGAAAACUCGGGGCUUAACCCCCGAGCCUGCUUCCGAUACGGGCAGACUAGAGGUAGGCAGGGGGAGAGCGGAACUCCUGGUGUAGCGGUGGAAUGCGCAGAUAUCAGGAGGAACACCGGUGGCGAAGGCGGUUCUCUGGGCAUUACCUGACACUGAGGAGCGAAAGCCAGGGGAGCAAACGGG
rnacentral:rRNA from 1 species